rnacentral:rRNA from 1 species
AACCUGCCUUGGAGUGGGGAAGUAACAGCUGGAAACAGCUGCUAAUACCGCAUAAUAUGUCUGAACCGCAUGGCUCUGGACAUCAAAGAUUUAUCGCUCUGAGAUGGACUCGCGUCUGAUUAGCUAGUUGGUGGGGCAACGGCCCACCAAGGCGACGAUCAGUAGCCGGACUGAGAGGUUGGCCGGCCACAUUGGGACUGAGACACGGCCCAGACUCCUACGGGAGGCAGCAG